GCAAACGACGAAUGGGUAUGAGAGUACAACCUUAGCAGAAGUGCUUACCACGGAGUCAACCAAUGUGACAGAGGAAAUAAAUACAACGUGCAGCGAUGACCAGUGGCAGUGUGAAAACGGUGAAUGCAUUUCCAACACAACGUUGUGCGACGGUUUUAUCGACUGCAAGGACGCGUCCGACGAGUAUAGGAAGACCUGCAACGGUUCAAAUCCGAGACCCUUGUUCGGACUACUUCUACAUUGCAUAUCCUGGUCCAAGAAUCACGAGAAAGUAUGCCAUCAAAUCUGCCACGACGCACCUGAGUUUUGUUACUACGCUCUUAUAACUGAAAAU